AUGUGCAAGCUGCAGCACCUGUGCAAGCAGAACACUCGUCGCAUGGUGUUCCGCCAGCGAAAGAUGAAGACAUUGCCGACACCAAAACUGGGCAUCCACAAUUUUCUUUUGGCAAAUCAACUUCAGCAACAAAGGUUCUGCUCAAAACGGUUUCCUCAAGAAGCCAUUAUGGAGCCAACAUCCCGUGAGGAAACACAGCAACAGACCGACCUCGUCAAGACUGCUACCACCGCGAGAUCCACUACUCCAUGUGCCUAUCGUCACACCAUCGUGUCCAAUACAUCAUGGACACUUGCAAACACCAGCAGAUGUCAGAUCAUACACGCACAGCCCAGACAUUCCUGCUCAACUAAUUCCAGUGCUAGGACAGGAAUUCAAUUCAUAUGA
rnacentral:rRNA from 1 species